GUCGAGCGGUAGAGGGAAGCUUGCUUCUCUUGAGAGCGGCGGACGGGUGAGUAAUGCCUAGGAAUCUGCCUAGUGGUGGGGGAUAACGUUCGGAAACGGACGCUAAUACCGCAUACGUCCUACGGGAGAAAGCGGGGGACCUUCGGGCCUCGCGCCAUUAGAUGAGCCUAGGUCGGAUUAGCUAGUUGGUGAGGUAAUGGCUCACCAAGGCUACGAUCCGUAACUGGUCUGAGAGGAUGAUCAGUCACACUGGAACUGAGACACGGUCCAGACUCCUACGGGAGGCAGCAGUGGGGAAUAUUGGACAAUGGGCGAAAGCCUGAUCCAGCCAUGCCGCGUGUGUGAAGAAGGUCUUCGGAUUGUAAAGCACUUUAAGUUGGGAGGAAGGGUAGUAACUUAAUACGUUGCUACUUUGACGUUACCGACAGAAUAAGCACCGGCUAACUUCGUGCCAGCAGCCGCGGUAAUACGAAGGGUGCAAGCGUUAAUCGGAAUUACUGGGCGUAAAGCGCGCGUAGGUGGUUCAGUAAGUUGGAUGUGAAAUCCCCGGGCUCAACCUGGGAACUGCAUCCAAAACUGCUGAGCUAGAGUACGGUAGAGGGUAGUGGAAUUUCCUGUGUAGCGGUGAAAUGCGUAGAUAUAGGAAGGAACACCAGUGGCGAAGGCGACUACCUGGACUGAUACUGACACUGAGGUGCGAAAGCGUGGGGAGCAAACAGGAUUAGAUACCCUGGUAGUCCACGCCGUAAACGAUGUCAACUAGCCGUUGGGAGUCUUGAACUCUUA
rnacentral:rRNA from 1 species